CAUGAUCUCCCUGAAGUAAACCCAUGUUGUCUCUGAUCUUGAAAUCCAUGUGUUUUUAGAUGUUCAUCAAUCCUAUCCUUUAACAUGGUUUCCAUCACUUUCCCCACUACUGAAGUAAGGCUUACUGGCCUAUAGUUGCCCGACUCCUCCCUAUUACCUUUCUUGUAAAUGGGCACAACAUUCGCUAACUUCCAAUCUUCUGGGACUACUCCUGUUAACAAUGAUUGGUUAAAUAAAUC